rnacentral:rRNA from 1 species
GACGAACGCUGGCGGCGUGCUUAACACAUGCAAGUCGAGCGGUAAGGCCCUUUCGGGGGUACACGAGCGGCGAACGGGUGAGUAACACGUGGGUGACCUGCCCUCAGCUCUGGGACAAGUCUGGGAAACCGGGUCUAAUACCGGAUAUGACUCCAUGACGCAUGUUGUGGGGUGGAAAGCCUUGUGCGGCUGAGGAUGGGCCCGCGGCCUAUCAGCUUGUUGGUGGGGUNAUGGCCUACCAAGGCGACGACGGGUAGCCGGCCUGAGAGGGCGACCGGCCACACUGGGACUGAGACACGGCCCAGACUCCUACGGGAGGCAGCA